ensembl:lncRNA
GUCACAUUGUGGCAUUUAAUUCAAAUCACUGCAGUGCACAUAAUUCUUUCUUUGAUUUAAUGCUGAAGUGCAGAAGUUUUUGUAUGAUUCCUAUCAUUACUAGUGAAGAGCGGUGUGAGUGAGAUGCUGGCAGAGGUCAUGCAGUGCACCGUGGUGAUUGAGUGUGUGGUCACAGGCACUGCUUGAACCCGAGCGCUGGCACCCAUCCAGCAGAACACCAACGCUGACCUCCACACACACACACACACACACACACACACACACACACACACACACACACACACACACACCUGCUGCUGAACGGCAUGGACAGCUACAUCACUGCAUGUCCCAAACAAAAUAUAUGGAAAUAUACUGGAAAAUAAAUGGAAACCCAAGUCUCUGGACUCAUCCACCUGAGAGCAGGAACAUUCCAGCGGAAGAAUGCUUUGUACAUGCAUGCACAGGAGGAGCUGAUUUGG